AACCGGGUUUUUUUUUGGUUGUUUAUGGUAUUCUUCCUAACCCUAAACAUUUCCCCCAAAUUUCAGUCGUCUCUCUUGGUUCUCUCCUUUAUUGGUUCCCAUACAAUCCAAAAGCUGACCUGCCAUAGACCACUUCUUCAUCCUGUUUUCACAAAGGGGAGGUGUAGAUUUCCACCGUCAAUGUGUCUAAAAUCCUUCCCUCCACGAACCCUAAAUCAGGUCGUAUAACCUCAAGGAGCAUUCAAGAUAUGAGAAAUUUUGUCUCCAUUCGAACUUUUGUAUUCGGAUCCAAAAUAUGAAGACGCAACUGAUCUUUGUCUCUCCAAUGAGCACCGGUGCAUUUGGGAAUUCACAUUCAGUUUGUUCAUUUCUUUGAUAUAUGAUCUGUAAGUUAACAUGUCUCCUCGGUUUCUCUUUUAGAACCAAGAGGUGGUAACCGUUUUUUUUAAAUAUGUAUUAUAUAUUAUUAAGAGCUCUGUGGCGAUGCCGUUGUUUGGAAUGAGUAGCAGAGUAUGGAUGCAAGACAGCCCAACAAAGUUCAGGCUCGAAAGUUUUUUGGAUCAAAGAGCUCAAAAGAUACACCCACCCACCUAGAGACCCAUUGAAGGCAACACUACUGAAAAGAAUAUCCAAUAAAAUACUUUGAUAAUCUAAAAUCGAUGAGAACUUGGUGCUUUCUAAAAGCUUGCACAUAUGGUAUUGUAACGAAUAGGCCAUGUAUGUGACGAUUCAAGGUGAAUCACCAUCUAACAUUUCUAUUCAACUCGGCUUUUUAGUUUA